GUUCAUCUCAAUAACUGCCGGUAAACCUGUCAUGGCCCUGAUCCAACCAGUUCCCAUCACCAUGACUGUCUGGGUGCGCCCACAAUGGAGCCCUAUUCCUUAUAUAAGUCACUGUUUCUAGAAGUAGUGCACUAUGUAGGGAAUAGAGUGCCAUGUUGGACAGAGAUUCAGUUUAUUUAACUUGACCCUGUUCCUGCUCCCCACUCACUCCUCACUCUCAGUUAAACAAAUAGAGACGUCCGUUCACUAUCAGUUCAUUGGUAAACACCACCAUGAGUGUCCUCAGCUACGUGUCCAGAAAUACAUAUUCAGAACUUUGUUAUUCCUCCUCCUCAGACCCCUCCCCUUAUUCUGGACCACACCUUGGUCUGAACUGGUUAUGAUCAUGUGUGUCGUCCCAGUGAUUGAGAAGUGAACAGGAGUUUUUUUUAACCCAAAGAUCCUGAUGAAAUUCAUUAAGUGGGAAGCAACCGAGGAGGAGGAGGAGUGAGGAGGAGGAGUGAGGCUUGACUAGUUUAGUGUUGCAACAUGACUAGGGGGAUGGGUGAAUUCUGAAUCAGUGUGUAUAUAAGGGUAAGCAAUAUUCAGACCUCCAGUUCCAUUAUCAAGCUGUGAUUGUGAUAUGAAGAUGCAGAAGUCUGUCUCUGUUGUUCCUCUGUUGUUGCUCCUCUGUCUGUCUGUGGUAGGGGUCACCAAAGGUCAAGGGGUAGAGGUCACCAAAGCUGUAGAGUUCAAGACGGAAAACGAGGUGGUCACAACACCAGCAGAUGGAAAGACAGAUGGACGGACAGACUCUGAGCCGGACCUCUGGGCUGAGCUGAGAGCGCUGAGAGACAUGGUGGUGGAACAGAGAGUGGAACUGGCUGUCACUCAAAGUCAACUGGAGGAUAUGAAGACACAGAAUUCAGAGAUGCAGUUCAGGCUGAGAACUGCAGAGAACCAGGUGAAGCUACUGAAGGCUGAGAUUCAAGAAGGGAAUGUAGCGUUCUCUGUUACUUUGGGAGUUGGGGGUUACUAUGGUGGUUACUAUGGACCCACAUCCAAUACCCUGGUCUACAAGGACAUCCUGACAAACAUCGGCAAUCACUACAACCCAACUAAUGGUCACUUCACAGCCCCAGUGAGGGGAGUGUACUACUUC
rnacentral:lncRNA from 8 species